rnacentral:rRNA from 1 species
UACGGAGGGUGCAAGCGUUGUCCGGAUUUAUUGGGUUUAAAGGGUGCGUAGGCGGCUAUUUAAGUCAGUGGUGAAAUCCAGCAGCUCAACUGUUGAACUGCCAUUGAUACUGAAUAGCUUGAAUAUAGUUGAGGUAGGCGGAAUUGACGGUGUAGCGGUGAAAUGCAUAGAUAUCGUCAAGAACCCCGAUUGCGAAGGCAGCUUACUAAACUAUAAUUGACGCUGAGGCACGAAAGCGUGGGGAUCAAACAGGAUUAGAUACCCUGGUAGUCCACGCUGUAAACUAUGAUCACUCGAUGUGUGCGAUAUACAGUACGCGUCCAAGCGAAAGCGUUAAGUGAUCCACCUGGGGAGUACGGCCGCAAGGUUGAA